GCCUAAGCGUCCGUAGCCUGAUCUAUAAGUUUCCGGUUAAAUCCACAUGCUCAACAUUUGGGCUGCCGGAAAAACUGUAGAUCUAGGGAGUGGGAGAGGUAGACGGUACUCGAUAGGAAGGGGUAAAAUCCUUUGAUCUAUUGAUGACCACCAGUGGCGAAGGCGGUCUACCAGAACACGUUCGACGGUGAGGGAUGAAAGCUGGGGGAGCAAACCGGAUUAGAUACCCGGGUAGUCCCAGCUGUAAACGAUGCAGACUCGGUGAUGCAUUGGCUUGUGGCCAGUGCAGUGCCGCAGGGAAGCCGUUAAGUUUGCCGCCUGGGAAGUACGUACGCAAGUAUGAAACUUAAAGGAAUUGGCGGGGGAGCACCACAAGGGGUGAAGCCUGCGGUUCAAUUGGAGUCAACGCCAGAAAUCUUACCCGGAGAGACAGCAGAAUGAAGGUCAAGCUGAAGACUUUACCAGACAAGCUGAGAGGUGGUGCAUGGCCGUCGCCAGCUCGUGCCGUGAGAUGUCCUGUUAAGUCAGGUAACGAGCGAGACCCUUGCCUCUAGUUGCCACCAUUGCUCUCUGGAGCAGUGGGGCGAAUUAGCGGGACCGCCGCAGUUAAUGCGGAGGAAGGAAAGGGCUACGGCAGGUCAGUAUGCCCCGAA
rnacentral:rRNA from 1 species